UAGGGAAUCUUCCACAAUGGACGAAAGUCUGAUGGAGCAACGCCGCGUGAGUGAAGAAGGUUUUCGGAUCGUAAAACUCUGUUGUUGGAGAAGAACAUAUUUGAUAGUAACUGAUCAGGUAGUGACGGUAUCCAACCAGAAAGCCACGGCUAACUACGUGCCAGCAGCCGCGGUAAUACGUAGGUGGCAAGCGUUGUCCGGAUUUAUUGGGCGUAAAGCGAGCGCAGGCGGUUUCUUAAGUCUGAUGUGAAAGCCUUCGGCUCAACCGAAGAAGUGCAUCGGAAACUGGGAAACUUGAGUGCAGAAGAGGACAGUGGAACUCCAUGUGUAGCGGUGAAAUGCGUAGAUAUAUGGAAGAACACCAGUGGCGAAGGCGGCUGUCUGGUCUGUAACUGACGCUGAGGCUCGAAAGCAUGGGUAGCAAACA
rnacentral:rRNA from 1 species